UGGGGAAUUGUUCGCAAUGGGCGCAAGCCUGACGACGCAACGCCGCGUGGAGGACGAAGAUCUUCGGGUCGUAAACUCCUGUCGAGCGGGAAGAAGAGCCCGUGGGUGAAUAUCCCGCGGGAUUGACGGUACCGCUAAAGGAAGCCCCGGCUAACUCCGUGCCAGCAGCCGCGGUAAUACGGGGGGGGCAAGCGUUGUUCGGAAUUACUGGGCGUAAAGGGCUCGUAGGCGGCCAACUAAGUCGGAUGUGAAAUCCCCAGGCUCAACCUGGGAACUGCAUCCGAUACUGGAUGGCUUGAAUCCGGGAGAGGGAUGCAGAAUUCCAGGUGUAGCGGUGAAAUGCGUAGAUAUCUGGAGGAAUACCGGUGGCGAAGGCGGCAUCCUGGACCGGCAUUGACGCUGAGGAGCGAAAGCUAGGGGAGCAAACG
rnacentral:rRNA from 1 species